GGCGGACGGGUGAGUAACACGUGGGUAACCUGCCUGUAAGACUGGGAUAACUCCGGGAAACCGGGGCUAAUACCGGAUGCUUGAUUGAACCGCAUGGUUCAAUCAUAAAAGGUGGCUUUUAGCUACCACUUACAGAUGGACCCGCGGCGCAUUAGCUAGUUGGUGAGGUAACGGCUCACCAAGGCGACGAUGCGUAGCCGACCUGAGAGGGUGAUCGGCCACACUGGGACUGAGACACGGCCCAGACUCCUACGGGAGGCAGCAGUAGGGAAUCUUCCGCAAUGGACGAAAGUCUGACGGAGCAACGCCGCGUGAGUGAUGAAGGUUUUCGGAUCGUAAAACUCUGUUGUUAGGGAAGAACAAGUACCGUUCGAAUAGGGCGGUACCUUGACGGUACCUAACCAGAAAGCCACGGCUAACUACGUGCCAGCAGCCGCGGUAAUACGUAGGUGGCAAGCGUUGUCCGGAAUUAUUGGGCGUAAAGCGCGCGCAGGCGGUUUCUUAAGUCUGAUGUGAAAGCCCCCGGCUCAACCGGGGAGGGUCAUUGGAAACUGGGGAACUUGAGUGCAGAAGAGGAGAGUGGAAUUCCACGUGUAGCGGUGAAAUGCGUAGAGAUGUGGAGGAACACCAGUGGCGAAGGCGACUCUCUGGUCUGUAACUGACGCUGAGGCGCGAAAGCGUGGGGAGCGAACAGGAUUAGAUACCCUGGUAGUCCACGCCGUAAACGAUGAGUGCUAAGUGUUAGAGGGUUUCCGCCCUUUAGUGCUGCAGCAAACGCAUUAAGCACUCCGCCUGGGGAGUACGGUCGCAAGACUGAAACUCAAAGGAAUUGACGGGGGCCCGCACAAGCGGUGGAGCAUGUGGUUUAAUUCGAAGCAACGCGAAGAACCUUACCAGGUCUUGACAUCCUCUGACAACCCUAGAGAUAGGGCUUCCCCUUCGGGGGCAGAGUGACAGGUGGUGCAUGGUUGUCGUCAGCUCGUGUCGUGAGAUGUUGGGUUAAGUCCCGCAACGAGCGCAACCCUUGAUCUUAGUUGCCAGCAUUCAGUUGGGCACUCUAAGGUGACUGCCGGUGACAAACCGGAGGAAGGUGGGGAUGACGUCAAAUCAUCAUGCCCCUUAUGACCUGGGCUACACACGUGCUACAAUGGGCAGAACAAAGGGCAGCGAAGCCGCGAGGCUAAGCCAAUCCCACAAAUCUGUUCUCAGUUCGGAUCGCAGU
rnacentral:rRNA from 1 species